rnacentral:misc_RNA from 1 species
GAUGAAGAACGCAGCGAAAUGCGAUAAGUAAUAUGAAUUGCAGAAUUCAGUGAAUCAUCGAAUCUUUGAACGCACAUUGCGCCCUCUGGUAUUCCGGGGGGCAUGCCUGUUCGAGCGUCAUUAUAACCACUCAAGCUCUCGCUUGGUAUUGGGGUUCGCGGUUUCGCGGCCCCUAAAAUCAGUGGCGGUGCCUGUCGGCUCUACGCGUAGUAAUACUUCUCGCGAUUGAGUUCGAUAGGUCUACUUGCCAGUAACCCCCAAUUUUUACAGGUUGACCUCGGAUCAGGUAGGGAUACCCGCUGAACUUAAGCAUAUCAAUAAGCGGA